CCCUUAGAUGUUCUGGGCCGCACGCGCGCUACACUGACGAUGGCAACGAGUUUUUCCUUCGCCGAAAGGUGUGGGUAAUCUUUUGAAACAUCGUCGUGCUGGGGAUAGAUCAUUGCAAUUUUUGAUCUUGAACGAGGAAUUCCUAGUAAGCGCGAGUCAUCAGCUCGCGUUGAUUACGUCCCUGCCCUUUGUACACACCGCCCGUCGCUACUACCGAUUGAAUGGUUUAGUGAGGACUCCUGAUUGGCGCCGCCGCACCGGCAACGGAGCAGCGGACUGCCGAAAAGUUGUUCAAACUUGAUCAUUUAGAGGAAGUAAAAGUCGUAACA
rnacentral:rRNA from 1 species